GAAGAAGAUAUUUUAAUUCAUUUUGGGACCCCUGAAGACCAGAUCAAUUCUCUCAGCAUGCAGUUGGAAAUCAUUCUACGUGCCACACUUGGCAUGCGUGCUGUAAGUUGCUAACAUCUGACAGACUCUGAGCUUUCACAACUUGGUUAAACAGCACCAGUCCAGCAGAAACUGCUGGGGGCGACACUGAAUGAUAUCAAGAGUAGACUUGAGGUGAGAGAGAAGACACUGAAGGAGAUGAGGAGGAUGAUGGAGGAGAUGAAGAACUUUGUUGAAAGAGAGCUGGAAGAAAAUGAGAAGAGUUUCGUAGCUCUGAUACGGUGCAUUGAGGAAGCCCACAGGAAACUGACUGAAAGGAUCAAAGAAGAAGAAAAGAGUGAAAUGGAGAAGGCUGAAGGAGUCAUGGAGCAACUGGAGAAGGAG